rnacentral:lncRNA from 1 species
AUGAAAUCUUUUCCUUUUGCUUUUCAGGAGUGUUACCUGCGGCUGGUUUUCACACAGGUGUAUGUCAUUAGAAUGCUUAUGGGCAAGCAGCUUAGAAGGUAUAAAGAAUCUUUUGGCUGCAAAACUGAGGCAAGAAGAGAAAACAAAUGGAAACUGAAAGCGGUACCCAAAGUUCUUGGAUGAAGCACACAUCUCCCCUUGCUGUUCACUCUGAUGUUGCCCACUCUUCUGGCUGAUGUACUCCUGCCAAGUGCUGCUUUGAGGGUGGCUAACCUAUGGUAGAGGGGAUCAUGUGACCUAGUUAGUCUCUUCAGGGUAUAUUAAAAAUGUGUAGAACUGGUCUGAAUUGUAAAAGGCAAGAAAAUGCAAAUAUUAUAUUAAAACUUAUAAAUUAUUUUUGUCCAUUGUUCUACCUUUUUUUAUGACUUAUUCAAAAUAGAUUUCCACUGUAUUCCAUUGCAGCUAGUACCCUAGACACUUGUUUUCCAUUUUCAGUCAAAAAUCUUCCAUUAAUAAAAGCAAAUUGAAAUAGUUAGCUUAUUUAUCUCUUUGCCUCAGUUCCUUUAUAAAAGUGAGCGUGUUCACAUUAAUCUCCACAUAGUUUCUUCUUAGUCUGUUAAUUUUUGGCUUGAGAGAAAAACAGGGAAAGGAAGACAGAGAGAAUGUGUGUGUGUGUGUGUGUGUGUGUGUGUGUGUGUUGACAAUUAGGCCCUUUCAUGAGGGAAAAAUAUUUUUUCCUAAACAUUUGGAAAAACCUAGAAACAACAUUUUAAUGGAAUUAGUAUAAAUAGAGGUCAUUACUUAUUAUUUAAAUGCCUGGGUUUUCUUAAGGAUUGAUAUAUCAAACUAUGUGAAUUAAAUUUAGGAACUUCUAAGUUAAGAAUUUUCCAUUAGAAAACAUCCAUAAAGAUAACAGGAAGUCGAAAUAAUCCCCAAUCACCUGUUUAUUAGGCUCCAAAUGAAAAUCAUAAAUUGUGCAUGAAAAAAUAGGUGGAUGAGAUGUGUGGUUAAGUAGAAGACCCGGCACUUUGAAG